UCCUUAGAUGUCCGGGGCUGCACGCGCGCUACACUGAAGGAAUCAGCGUGCUAAAACCAUUGUCGAAAGGCAUUGGUAAACCCAUUAAAAUCCUACGUGAUUGGGAUCGGGAAUUGCAAUUAUUUCCCUUGAACGAGGAAUUCCCAGUAAGUGUGGGUCAUAAGCUCGCGUUGAUUACGUCCCUGCCCUUUGUACACACCGCCCGUCGCUGCCCGGGACUGGGCCGUUUCGAGAAAAGCGGGGACUGCUGCUGUCGGGGCUUUCGGGCCUUGGCUUCGGUGGAAACCGCUUUAAUCGCAGUGGCUUGAACCGGGCAAAAGUCGUAACA
rnacentral:rRNA from 1 species